GGGGCAGGCAGCAGAGAACGAGCCCAGGAUGUUUUUUAAUGCCCUGGGAGCACAGAGGAUAUGCCGGCUCUGAAGAGCUCCAAAGUUGGCCUCCUUCUCAUUGAAGUGCAAAGGUGAAUGUGGGACGGCAGACCUGGAGGUAGUUUAAGGUGGCUGUUUUCUCUACAAGAUGAAUUGUAAACAGAACCCACCUGUUCCCAUAAUGCACAGUACUUUCUUAAAUGCCAGAAAGCUCUUCCUUUUCCUUCUUCUCUGCCAGCCUCUGCCCUUCGAUUUUCCAGUGGCAUCCAGAACACUGCUUAUGCAUCUCCAAUGCAUUGCGGUUCUUAAGUCUGCUCUUGUACCUUACCAAUGUCGCCGUUGCUACAGUAUGCAGGAGAUGCAUCUCUUAUCGUUUUCAGAUUUUAACAAAGCACACCUUGUUCGCGAAGUGCACUUUCGCCAAGACAAUUCUAGACCAUAGCUUCACCAUGAUUUCCUUGAUAUUUUGCUGUUUUACUGAAUCCCAAGCAAAGGCACUAUUUGAAAAUUACAUUGUUACUAUUCUGAGGCCCAGAGUCUUGCAGAGUGCUGCUCCAUUUAUUAAGCUGUUGUCGCUUUGCUGCAAACUCACCCUGCCCAGUCCAGCCUUGCUCUGUGAUGCUAGGGACAGUCCUGUUGCACACCUCAUUUCUGCUUGUCUAGUUAGGCCCCGUCAGUAGGGGGCGCUAGAGGGAGAGGCCGCGAGGCAGGAGGAAGAAGGGACUUGCUCCAGCCUUGGCUUCCGAGCUUGUGGUUCUUGUGAGCAUCAGCUCAAUGAUGAUUUUUCACCCAUAGAGGCAGCUGGGGCCUCUUGGUUGCUAUUUUUAAUUUGUCCCAUAUUUGGAAAACCAGUCUCAUCAUGCCUCUGUGAGGGACACCCAGUGCCUCCCUCAAGGGCUGAGUCCCAAGUCCACUGAGCUCAUCAUGUCCAAGCUCAGGACACCAGCACAGAGUGGUUAGUGCCCUCUCUUCAGGUCCUAGGCUGCUAAUCUGAAUCCCAUAUCUCUAAGAAACUCACAAGCAACGGGCUGCUGGAAGCAGCUUGCCCUUCUGUGUCUGAGAACCCCUGCCUUCCCUUGCUAGAAAAUUUUCUCAUGAAACGGAAUUCCCUAAUGACAUUUUAUUUUCUGAUUAAUGUCUUGGACCAUGAGCUGAGUCAUUGAGGGUAGAGUGAUGGACAGGAAAAGAACAACAAUAUCCUCGGGGGGGGGCGCAUCUGUAGCAGUGUCAUGUGCUGUCCUCAGGCAAACCCUUGAUUUUCCUUCCAGGCACCAAAGUUUCAAUUAUUUAGAAAAUAGAUGCUUAGGGCAUUGGAAUAUGUAAUAAAAUUCAAUGUGUCCUUUUCCCCCACUGCUUAAUAUCAGAGGCACAGGCUUCAUUUAUAAGGAAACUGGAAGCAGCACUAAACAAAUCCAUUUCAUCAGCCUUAGACAACUGCCCAAGAGAAAGAAUGCUUUGAAAUACAUUUAUCUGAGAAUUCCACACAUUGUCCAACAACUCCACGGUCUGGUGAUUCCUGUCAUGAAUCACUUUGAAGUGGACAAGUCAUUCUUCAGAAAAUGUAUAGCUCAAGCAAACAUAUUUGUUCACUGAAACCUUUUGCCUUUGGCUGAGCACUGAGCCAAUUUCCCCCUGAAAACCUCUUCCUCCUCUGUGGUUUCUCUCUCCUGAGCAGGGCAGUGGUCAAUGACUUUAACAACAAAAGUGUAACUCUGUUGGGAAUUUGACGGACUGUCCUUUCUGCUCUCUGGUGGCCCACCAUGCUGAUACUUGCCCUUGGUUUAAGUUUCUUUUUUAAGCAAGGGUUUUGCUGUAGGCAGCUUGUUUGAGAGGUGAUUCCAGGAAAGAGAAGAGUCAGAUAGAGGAGUGGGGGUUGCCUCUGUGGGUAGGGGCUCCAUUCUGUCAGGACCUGGGGUUGCUGGGUGAUGAAUGUCGGUCAGAACUGCUCGUAGAACGUGGCCUGGGGCUGCAGUGUUUCUCCUGGGCUCAAAUUACCCGUGAGUUGAAGGCUUCCUGGGCCUGCUCACUGUCUUGUCCUUCUGAACUACAGUAGAGGGCUCAUGUGGCCACAUGGAAAGGCACAGCAUGACAAGAUGGGGGUGGGAAUGCCAGCAUGGCUCUCCUGGAAUUGUCCCUACAGCUGUGGCUCCAGUCAGAGGUAGCUGGGAUAAACAUGGUCACAAGGGAUGAG
rnacentral:lncRNA from 1 species